AAAUACGCCAGAGGGAUCCUGGAGGACUGACGCGGAGAAGGGUUUCAUGUGACCAGUGGUUUGACAUGAAGUAUCCCGAUCACUAGGCCGGCAAGAAAAAGAAGCACACUAGCAUCACGCCCGUCACUAGGCCGGCUUUCGCCUGCGGCUUAGGCCGGUUCUUUUCAACAAACACGCCUCGCUCCUUUUCUUUCCUUUCACCCAUCUGGCUAGGGACUAUAGAAACGAAAGAGGGAAAGAAGCGCGCGCCGAAUCCUCCCAAACAAAGNNNNNNAGCGCCAUCCAUUUUCAGGGCUAGUUGCUUCGGCAGGUGAGUUGUUACACACUCCAGAGCGAAUUCCGACCUCCAUGGCCACCGCCCUGCUGUCUUCACCCUCCAAACCCCUGAGCGGAUUCCGCCCUCCAUGGCCACCGUCUCGACUUCCAUGACCACCGUCCUGCUGUCUAAAUGAACCAACACCUUUUGAGGGAUCUAGAUGAGCGAGUAGUUUGGCACCGUAACUCCACGUCCGGUUCAUCCCGCAUCGCCAGUUCUGCUUACCAAAAAUGGCCCACUAGAAGCUCUCAUUCAAUGUCUAGGUUCAAUUAAGUAACCUAAACUUCUUACGUAUUUAAAGUUUGAGAAUAGGUUAAGGAUAAUAUAUCCCCAAGGCCUCUAAUCAUUCGCUUUACCUCAUAAAACUGAUAUGAGCUUCUGCUAUCCUGAGGGAAACUUCGGAGGGAACCAGCUACAAUUCGCUUUACCGGAUGAAACUCCGUUUGUUCUCCGAGCUCCAGCUACCUGAGGGAAACUUCGGGGGGAACCAGCUACUAGAUUGUUCCCCCCGAAGUUUCCCUCAGGAUUCUCAAACUUACAAUGGGUGAGAAUGGGUUGAGGUCGUUUCGACCCCAAGGUUCGAAACGACCUCAACCUAUUCUCAAACUUUCAAGCCCGGCCUGCAUUUCUUGAUUGGGGCCGUGGGAAUGAUUUUAUUUUGAAUCUGAGCGCCCAGUGGGCCAUUUUGAAUCUGAGCGCCCAGUGGGCCAUUUUUGGUAAGCAGAACUGAGCCGCCCAUGGGCCAUUUUUGGUAAAGCAGAACUUCUGAGCGCCCAGUGGGCCAUUUAUUAGCAGUUUUAUCAGGUAAAGCGAAUGAUUAGAGGCCUUGGGGUUGAAAUAACCUCAACCUAUUCUCAAACUUUAAAUAGGUAAGAAGCCUGGCUUGCUUAAUUGAAGUCAGGCAUUGAAUGCAAGUUCCAAGUGGGCCAUUUUUGGUAAGCAGAACUGGCGAUGCGGCCAGCCCUGAAAAUGGAUGGCGCUCAAGCGUGAUACUUAUACUUCGCCGUUGCUGUAAGAGACUAUACCGCAACGAGUAGGAGGGCGUGGAGGUCGUGAAGCAGCUUAGGGCGUAAGCCUGAGUGAAACGGCCUCUAGUGCAGAUCUUGGUGGUAGUAGCAAAUAUUCAAAUGAGAACUUUGAAGACCGAAGUGGAGAAGGGUUCCAUGAGAACAGCAUUUGUUCAUGGGUUACUCGAUCCUAAGACAUAGGGAAAUUCCUUGUAAUAUAUGAGCUCUUACGAGUUCGUUGUCAAAAGGGAAUGAGGUUGAUAUUCCUCAAGCUGAAUGCGGAGGUUUCGUGGCAACACAAACAAGCUUGGAGACAUCGGCAUGUGCAACUGGAAGAGUUCUCUUUUCUUCUUAACAAUCUAUCUCCCUGAAUGGAUUAUCCAAAGCUAGGGAUAUAUGGUUGGCAGAGCAGUUCACCAUCGAACUGUCAGUGAUGCUCAUGACGAUCCUUGAAAAUCCAAGUACGGUGAUCCUUUCGCAUCAGGUCGUACCCAUAACCGCAUCAGGUCUCCAAGGUUAACAGCCUCUGGUCGAUAGAAUAACGUAGAUAAGGGAAUUCGGCAAAUUAGAUCCGUAACUUCGGGAAAAGGAUUGGCUCUGAGGAUUGGGUGUUUAGACCCCUACUUGGACAGUGGAAAUUAAUUAGGACUUGCCGUAAGGCAGGACCUAGUUUUUUGAAAUUAGAAUUGUAGGGAGUUCUUGCACAAGUAACAAUCGACUCGGAACUGAAGCGGACAAGGAGAAUCCGACUGUUUAAUAAAAACAUAGCAUUGUGAUGGAGUGAAAACUUGUUGACACAAAGUGAUUUCUGCCCAGUGCUUUGAAUGUGAAUAUGAAGUAAUUUGUAGAAGCUCAGGUAAACGGCGGGAGUAACUAUGACUCUCUUAAGUUCAACGAAGCGCGGAACCACGGAGGGAGUAACUAUGACACUCUUAAGGUAGCAAAAUGCCUCGUCAUCUAAUUGAGUAACUAUGACUCUCUUAAGGUUAGCCAAAUUCCUCGUCAUCUAAUAAGCCAUGCCUCGUCAUCUAAUUCGUGACGUCUAGCUAGCGAAUAACGAGAUUCCCCCUGUCCCUAUCUACUAUCUAGCACCCCACUGCGAGGGGAACGGGCCUCGUUUUGUCCCACUGCGAGGGGAACGGGCCUCGUCUUGUCAGCGGGGA
rnacentral:rRNA from 1 species